rnacentral:rRNA from 1 species
AAAUGAAUAGACGGGGGCCCGCACAAGCAGCGGAGCAUGUGGUUUAAUUCGAAGCAACGCGAAGAACCUUACCAGGUCUUGACAUCUGAUUAAAGCUGUAGAGAUACAGUGUGUGCAAGCACGAAUCAAGACAGGUGGUGCAUGGUUGUCGUCAGCUCGUGUCGUGAGAUGUUGGGUUAAGUCCCGCAACGAGCGCAACCCUUGCGAAUAGUUACUAACAAGUUAAGUUGAGGACUCUAUUAGGACCGCCGUGGAUAACACGGAGGAAGGUGGGGAUGACGUCAAAUCAUCAUGCCCCUUAUGACCUGGGCUACACACGUGCUACAAUGGUCGCAACAAAGAGCAGCGAAGGCGCAAGCCGCAGCGAAUCUCAAAAAAGCGAUCCCAGUUCGGAUUGUGGGCUGCAACCCGCCCGCAUGAAGUCGGAGUUGCUAGUAAUCGCGAAUCAGCAUGUCGCGGUGAAUGCGUUCCCGGGCCUUGUACACACCGCCCGU